rnacentral:rRNA from 1 species
CCCUUAGAUGUCCUGGGCCGCACGCGCGUUACACUGAUGCAUUCAACGAGCUUAUAACCUUGGCCGAGAGGCCUGGGCAAUCUUGUUAACGUGCAUCGUGAUAGGGAUAGAUUAUUGAAAUUAUUAAUCUUGAACGAGGAAUUCCUAGUAAACACAGAUCAUCAAUCUGCAUUGAUUACGUCCCUGCCCUUUGUACACACCGCCCGUCGCACCUACCGAUUGGAUGGUCCGGUGAAGCCUCGGGAUUGUGGUUCUUGCCGCUUUAUUGUGGCGUGACCGCGAGAACUUGUCUAAACCUUAUCAUCUAGAGGAAGGUGAAGUCGUAACA